GGGGGAAUAUUGCACAAUGGGGGGAAACCCUGAUGCAGCGACGCCGCGUGAAGGAAGAAGUAUCUCGGUAUGUAAACUUCUAUCAGCAGGGAAGAAAAUGACGGUACCUGACUAAGAAGCCCCGGCUAACUACGUGCCAGCAGCCGCGGUAAUACGUAGGGGGCAAGCGUUAUCCGGAUUUACUGGGUGUAAAGGGAGCGUAGACGGUAUGGCAAGUCUGAUGUGAAGGGCUGGGGCUCAACCCCGGGACUGCAUUGGAAACUGUCGAACUAGAGUGCCGGAGGGGUAAGCGGAAUUCCUGGUGUAGCGGUGAAAUGCGUAGAUAUCAGGAGGAACACCGGUGGCGAAGGCGGCCUGCUGGACAGUAACUGACGCUGAGGCUCGAAAGCGUGGGGAGCAAACAGGAUUAGAUACCCUGGUAGU
rnacentral:rRNA from 1 species